UGAAGGGGCUUCUCUUUUCCACCUACUGACUGACUCAGUUGGAGAAGCUGGGCCAAGCUAUGAGCUCCUGAGUUCCUCCUGCCCUGUGGUGAGUUUGGCAUUGCCAUAACCAGACCAGCGAGGUCCCAGACAGCUCUGGGAUCCUGAAGAAGACCACGUGAGAACUUUCUUCCAAAGGAGACACCCCACCGCCAGGUCAGGUUGUACAAAGGGAGCUUUGAUCAGUUGCAAAGAGCCCCCCGGCUGAAAGAGGGGGGCCUGGCCCUCUCAACCAGCCAAACAGGUUCUGCAUGUAACAUCUGCAGUCAUGCAUAUACUGUGUUUGCAAAAGACGUGUUUCCGUCUGCACACGUGCGUGCGUGUGUGAGGCUCACCUGGAACAGAACGCACCCUCUGCUGUAGCCGGACAGACGCUAGACCACUAGACACGGCGGUAUCGUGCGUACCCUGUGCAAGCCACCAGCUGCCUUUUUGCAGUUUCUCUCUUCGUGUGUCUUCAACGAGUAUUCUGCCUUUCCAGUCCCUCAAUCCUUGUUCCGUGGAUCCUCCAUGGACAAUUUGGAGUUUGGGAACCAGGGCUCGAAGAGCGAGGCCCUGAGCCAGCGUGUACUUCAUCAGGCUGUCCAAGAACUGAGAUAAAGCCCCACCAGCACCCAUGUCCACCCGGAAACAACAGGGCUGAGGAAGGCCCCUAAGAGAAGGGGACAGUGGACGCAGGGGGCCAGAAGACAAUGUCCAACUUGAGUCCCUAGUUACAAGGCCCUGCAGAGGUGAGAGAAGAAAUGCAAGGCGAGCUCGACCUGAUGAUUUGAGGUGCAGCUCCAGCCCAGGUGUGCCCCUGGAUCCACUCGAGAUAAGUCGGUCAGGAUGGGGCUGUUAAACCAAUCAAGCAGAUGUGUCAGUGAUACACUGAAGAAAGGCAUAGAGCUCCACGUCCUUCACACACCCUGCUCCGGACUCCUGCCUUGAGACCUCCCUCUCUGCCAGGAGCUCUCGACCGCAGCACUAGUGACAUUUGGGGGCAGAUAACUGGGCUGUCCCGUGAAUCACGAGUUAUUUAGUAAAAUCCCUGGCCUCUACCCACUUGAUGAUAGCAGCACUCUCCGUCCCCCAGCCGGGACAGCCAAAAAUGUUUCCAGAUAUUGCCAAAUGUCCCCUGGGAAGAAAAUUGGCCCCUAGCUGAGAAUCAGUGCUCCGUGUGACACAUAUUGUGUAUACAGAAAUGUAUAUAUACAUACAAACAAUUAAAUAUUUAUAUGUCCUUAUUUUAAGUUGGCAUCUGGUAUAAACUUUUCCUUCAAUCAGCAUAUGCACAAAACAGAAAUGUAACAUAUUUUCUUCCUUUUCUCUUAAAAAUUAAUGUCAUCUGUGAUAAUAGUGACAUUUGUGGUGAUUAAAUAAAUAUAAGCAUCUUAUA